CUACGGGACGCAGCAGUGGGGAAUAUUGCACAAUGGGCGCAAGCCUGAUGCAGCCAUGCCGCGUGUAUGAAGAAGGCCUUCGGGUUGUAAAGUACUUUCAGCGGGGAGGAAGGGAGUAAAGUUAAUACCUUUGCUCAUUGACGUUACCCGCAGAAGAAGCACCGGCUAACUCCGUGCCAGCAGCCGCGGUAAUACGGAGGGUGCAAGCGUUAAUCGGAAUUACUGGGCGUAAAGCGCACGCGGGCGGUUUGUUAAGUCAGAUGUGAAAUCCCCGGGCUCAACCUGGGAACUGCAUCUGAUACUGGCAAGCUUGAGUCUCGUAGAGGGGGGUAGAAUUCCAGGUGUAGCGGUGAAAUGCGUAGAGAUCUGGAGGAAUACCGGUGGCGAAGGCGGCCCCCUGGACGAAGACUGACACUCAGGUGCGAAAGCGUGGGGAGCAAACAGGAUUAGAUACCCCCGUAGUC
rnacentral:rRNA from 1 species